UACGUAGGUGGCAAGCGUUAUCCGGAUUUACUGGGUGUAAAGGGCGUGUAGGCGGGAAAGCAAGUCAGAUGUGAAAACCACGGCCUCAACCUGUGGCCUGCAUUUGAAACUGUUUUUCUUGAGUACUGGAGAGGCAGACGGAACUCCUCGUGUAGCGGUGAAAUGCGUAGAUAUGAGGAGGAACACCAGUGGCGAAGGCGGUCUGCUGGACAGCAACUGACGCUGAGGCGCGAAAGCGUGGGGAGCAAACAGG
rnacentral:rRNA from 1 species